rnacentral:lncRNA from 1 species
UUGACUUGACCCAUUCUGUUAGCCUAGCACUUGAUCGUUUAGUAUGUUGCUAUUGCUUUCUUCAUGACUUAUACAAAGUUCCUACAACUAUGAGAUUGUGCAACUCCCGUUUACCGAAGGAACACUUUGUGUGCUACCAAACGUCACAACGUAAUUGGGUGAUUAUAAAGGUGCUCUACAGGUGUCUCCAAAGGUACAUGUUGAGUUGGCAUAAUUCAAGACUAGGUUUUGUCACUCCGAUUGUCGGAGAGGUAUCUCUGGGCCCUCUCGGUAAUACACAUCACUUAAGCCUUGCAAGCAUUGUAACUAAUGAGUUAGUUACAAAAUGAUGUAUUACGGAACGAGUAAAGAGACUUGCCAGUAACGAGAUUGAACUAGGUAUUGGAUACCGACGAUCGAAACUCGGGCAAGUAAAGGGAACAACGUAUGUUGUUAUGCGGUUCGACCGAUAAAGAUCUUCGUAGAAUAUGUAGGAGCCAGUAUGAACAUCCAGGUUCCACUCUUGGUUAUUGAUCAAGAAUAGUUCUAGGUCAUGUCUACAUAGUUCUCGAACCCGUAGGGUCCGCAUGCUUAACGUUACGAUGACAGUUUUAUUAUGAGUUUAUAAGUUUUGAUGUACCGAAGUUUGUUCGGAGUCCCGGAUGUGAUCACGGACAUGACGAGGAGUCUCGAAAUGGUCGAGACAUAGAGAUUGAUAUAUUGGACGGCUAUAUUCGGACACCGGAAGUGUUCCGGGCAUUUUCGGAGAAAACCGGAGUGCCGGAGGGUUACCGGAACCUCCCCGGGCCUUAUGGGCCUUAGUGGAGAGAGAGAGGGGCGGCCAGCAUGGGCCGCGCGCCCCCUCCCCCUCUGGUCCGAAUUGGACUAGGAGGGGGGCGGCGCCCCCCCUCUUUCCUUCUCCCUCUCCCCCUUCCUUUCCCCCUCCUAGUAGGAGUAGGAAAGAGGGAGUCCUACUCCUACUAGGAGGAGGACUCCUCCUCCUUGGCGCGCCCUCUAGGGCCGGCCGGCCUCCCCCCUUGCUCCUUUAUAUACGGGGGCAGGGGGGCACCCUAGGACACACAAGUUGAUCUACGGAUCGUUCCUUAGGCGUGUGCGGUGCCCCCCUCCACCAUAUUCCACCUCGGUCAUAUCGUCGCGGAGUUUAGGCGAAGCCCUGCGCCAGUAGAACAUCAUCAUCGUCACCACGCCGUCGUGCUGACGGAACUCAUCCCCGACGGUUUGCUGGAUCGGUGCCCGGGGAACGUCAUCGAGCUGAACAUGUGCUGAACACGGAGGUGCCGUACGUUCGGUGCUUGGAUCGGUCGGAUCGUGAAGACGUACGACUACAUCAACCGCGUUGUCAUAACGCUUCCGCUUAACGGUCUACGAGGGUACGUGGACGACACUCUCCCCUCUUGUUGCUAUGUCGUCACCAUGAUCUUGCGUGUGCGUAGGAAAAUUUUGAAAUUACUACGUUCCCCAACAGUGGCAUCCGAGCCAGGUUUUAUGCGUAGAUGUCAUAUGCACGAGUAGAACACAAGUGAGUUGUGGGCGAUACAAGUCAUACUGCUUACCAGCAUGUCAUACUUUGGUUCGGCGGUAUUGUGAGAUGAAGCGGCCCGGACCGACAUUACGCGUACGCUUACGCGAGACUGGUUUCACCAUUACGAGCACUCGUGCUUAAAGGUGGCUGGCGGGUGUCUGUCUCUCUCACUUUAGCUGAAUCGAGUGUGACUACGCCCAGUCCUUGCGAAGGUUAAAACAACACUAACUUGACGAACUAUCGUUGUGGUUUUGAUGCGUAGGUAAGAACGGUUCUUGCUCAGCCCGUAGAAGCCACGUAAAAUUUGCAACAACAAAGUAGAGGAUGUCUAACUUGUUUUUGCAGGGCAUGUUGUGAUGUGAUAUGGUCAAGACGUGAUGCUAUAUUUUAUUGUAUGAGAUGAUCAUGUUUUGUAAUCGAAGUUAUCGGCAACUGGCAGGAGCCAUAUGGUUGUCGCUUUAUUGUAUGAAAUGCAAACGCCCUGUAAUUGCUUUACUUUGAACGUCAUGGAGCAUAUGAGAUGUUCCAGGAGUUGAAGUUAAUAUUUCAAGCAAAUGCCCGGAUUGAGAGAUAUGAAGUCUCCAAUAAGUUCUACAGCUGCAAGAUGGAGGAGAAUAGUUCUGUCAGUGAGCAUAUACUCAAAAUGUCUGGGUAUAAUAAUAACUUGAUUCAACUGGGAGUUAAUCUUCUGGAUGAUAGCGUCAUUGAUAGAAUUCUCCAAUCACUGCCACCAAGCUACAAGAGCUUCGUGAUGAACUAUAAUAUGCAACGGAUGAACAAGACAAUUCCCGAGCUCUUCGCAAUGCUAAAGGCUGUGGAGGUAGAAAUCAAGAAGGAGCAUCAAGUGUUGAUGGUCAACAAGACCACUAGUUUCAGGAAAAAGGGCAAAGGGAAGAAGAAGGGGAACUUCAAGAAGAACAGCAAGCAAGUUGCUGCUCAAGAGAAGAAACCCAAGUCUGGACCUAAGCCUGAAACUGAGUGCUUCUACUGCAAGCAGACUGGACACUGGAAGCGGAACUGCCCCAAGUAUUUGGCGGAUAAGAAGGAUGGCAAGGUGAACAAAGGUAUAUGUGAUAUACAUGUUAUUGAUGUGUACCUUACUAGAGCUCACAGUAGCACCUGGGUAUUUGAUACUGGUUCUGUUGUUAGCAUUUGCAACUCGAAACAGGGACUACAGAAUAAGCGAGCACUGGCCAAGGACGAGGUGACGAUGCGCGUGGGAAACGGUUCCAAAGUCGAUGUGAUCGCGGUCGACACGCUACCUCUACAUCUACCUUCGGGAUUAGUUUUAGACCUAAAUAAUUGUUAUUUGGUGCCAGCGUUGAGCAUGAACAUUAUAUCUGGAUCUUGUUUGAUGCGAGACGGUUAUUCAUUUAAAUCAGAGAAUAAUGGUUGUUCUAUUUAUAUGAGUAAUAUCUUUUAUGGUCAUGCACCCUUGAAGAGUGGUCUAUUUUUAUUAAAUCUCGAUAGUAGUGAUACACAUAUUCAUAAUGUCGAAGCCAAAAGAUGCAGAGUUGAUAAUGAUAGUGCAACUUAUUUGUGGCACUACCGUUUAGGUCAUAUCGGUGUAAAGCGCAUGAAGAAACUCCAUACUGAUGGACUUUUGGAAUCACUUGAUUAUGAAUCACUUGGUACUUGCGAACCGUGCCUCAUGGGCAAGAUGACUAAAACACCAUUCUCCGGUACUAUGGAGAGAGCAACAGAUUUGUUGGAAAUCAUACAUACAGAUGUAUGUGGUCCGAUGAAUAUUGAAGCUCGUGGCGGAUAUCGUUAUUUUCUCACCUUCACAGAUGAUUUGAGCAGAUAUGGGUAUAUCUACUUAAUGAAACACAAGUCUGAAACAUUUGAAAAGUUCAAAGAAUUUCAGAGUGAAGUGGAAAAUCAUCGUAACAAGAAAAUAAAGUUUCUACGAUCUGAUUGUGGAGGAGAAUAUUUGAGUUACGAGUUUGGUUUACAUUUGAAACAAUGUGGAAUAGUUUCGCAACUCACGCCACCCGGAACACCACAACAAAAUGGUGUGUCCGAAUGUCGUAAUCGUACUUUACUAGAUAUGGUGCGAUCUAUGAUGUCUCAUACUGAUUUACCGCUAUCAUUCUGGGGUUAUGCUUUAGAGAUGGCCGCAUUCAAAUUGAAUAGGGCACCAUCAAAAUCCGUUGAGACGACACCUUAUGAACUGUGGUUUGGCAAGAAACCAAAGCUGUCGUUUCUUAAAGUUUGGGGUUGUGAUGCUUAUGUGAAGAAACUUCAACCAGAUAAGCUCGAACCUAAAUCGGAGAAAUGUGUCUUCAUAGGAUACCCAAAAGAGACUGUUGGGUACACCUUCUAUCACAGAUUCGAAGGCAAGACAUUCGUUGCUAAGAAUGGAUCCUUUCUAGAGAAAGAGUUUCUCUCUAAAGAAGUGAGUGGGAGGAAAGUAGAACUUGAUGAGAUAACUGUAUCUACUCCAUUAUUGGAAAGUAGUUCAUCACAGAAAUCGGUUUCUAUGACACCUACACCAAUUACUGAGGAAGCUAAUGAUAUUGAUCAUGAAACUUCAGAUCAAGUUUCUACUGAACCUCGUAGGUCUACCAGAGUAAAAUCCACACCAGAGAGGUACGGUAAUCCUAUUCUGGAAGUCAUGUUACUUGACCAUGAUGAACCUAUGAACUAUGAGGAAGCGAUGAUGAGCCAAGAUUCCGCAAAAUGGCUAGAAGCCAUGAAAUCUAAGAUGGGAUCCAUGUAUGAGAACAAAGUAUGGGCUUUGGUUGACUUGCCCGAUGAUCGGCAAGCCAUUGAGAAUAAAUGGAUUUUUAAGAAGAAGACUGACGCUGACAGUAAUAUAACUGUCUAUAAAGCUCAACUUGUUGCGAAAGGUUUUCGACAAGUUCAAGGGGUUGACUACGAUGAGACCUUCUCACCCGUAGCGAUGCUUAAGUCUGUCCGAAUCAUGUUAGCAAUUGCCGCAUUUUAUGAUUAUGAAAUAUGGCAGAUGGAUGUCAAAACUGCAUUCCUGAAUGGAUUUCUGGAAGAAGAGUUGUAUAUGAUGCAACCGAAAGGUUUUGUCGAUCCUAAGGGAGCUAAAAAAGUGUGCAAGCUCCAGCGAUCAAUCUAUGGUCUGGUGCAAGCCUCUCGGAGUUGGAAUAAACGCUUUGAUAGUGUGAUCAAAGCAUAUGGUUUUAUACAGACUUUUGGAGAAGCCUGUAUUUACAAGAAAGUGAGUGGGAGCUCUGUAGCAUUUCUGAUAUUAUAUGUAGAUGACAUAUUGUUGAUCGGAAAUGAUAUAGAAUUUCUGGAUAGCAUAAAGGGAUACUUGAAUAAAAGUUUUUCAAUGAAAGACCUCGGUGAAGCUGCUUACAUAUUGGACAUCAAGAUCUAUAGAGAUAGAUCAAGACGCUUAAUUGGACUUUCACAAAGCACAUACCUUGAUAAAGUUUUGAAAAAGUUCAAAAUGGAUCAGGCAAAGAAAGGGCUCUUGCCUGUAUUACAAGGUGUGAAGUUGAGUCAGACUCAAUGCCCGACCACAGCAAAAGAUAGAGAGAAAAUGAAAGAUGUUCCCUAUGCUUCAGCCAUAGGCUCUAUCAUGUAUGCAAUGCUGUGUACCAGACCUGAUGUGUGCCUUGCUAUUAGUUUGGCAGGGAGGUACCAAAGUAAUCCAGGAGUGGAUCACUGGACAGCGGUCAAGAACAUCCUGAAAUACCUGAAAAGGACUAAGGAUAUGUUUCUCAUAUAUGGAGGUGACAAAGAGCUAGUCGUAAAUGGUUACGUCGAUGCAAGCUUUGACACUAAUCCGGACGAUUCUAAAUCGCAAACCGGAUACGUAUUUUUAUUAAACGGUGGAGCUGUAAGUUGGUGCAGUUCUAAACAAAGCGUCGUGCUGGGAUCUACAUGUGAAGCGGAGUACAUAGCUGCUUCGGAAGCAGCAAAUGAAGGAGUCUGGAUGAAGGAGUUCAUUUCCGAUCUAGGUGUUAUACCUAGUGCAUCGGGACCAAUGAAGAUCUUCUGUGACAAUACUGCUGCAAUUGCCUUGGCAAAGGAAUCUAGAUUUCACAAGAGGACCAAGCACAUCAAGAGACGCUUCAAUUCCAUCCGGGACCAAGUCCAAGUGGGAGACACAGAAAUUUGCAAGAUACAUACGGAUCUGAAUGUUGCAGACCCAUUGACUAAGCCUCUCUCACGAGCAAAACAUGAUCAGCACCAAGACUCCAUGGGUGUUAGAAUCAUUACUAUGUAAUCUAGAUUACUGACUCUAGUGCAAGUGGGAGACUGAAGGAAAUAUGCCCUAGAGGCAAUAAUAAAGUUAUUAUUUAUUUCCUCAUAUCAUGAUAAAUGUUUAUUAUUCAUGCUAGAAUUGUAUUAACCGGAAACAUAAUACAUGUGUGAAUACGUAGACAAACAUAGUGUCACUAGUAUGCCUCUACUUGACUAGCUCGUUUAUCAAAGAUGGUUGUGUUUCCUAGCCAUGGACAAAAGAGUUGUCAUUUGAUUAACGGGAUCACAUCAUUGGGAGAAUGAUGUGAUUGACUUGACCCAUUCUGUUAGCCUAGCACUUGAUCGUUUAGUAUGUUGCUAUUGCUUUCUUCAUGACUUAUACAAAGUUCCUACAACUAUGAGAUUGUGCAACUCCCGUUUACCGGAGGAACACUUUGUGUGCUACCAAACAUCACAACGUAACUGGGUGAUUAUAAAGGUGCUCUACAGGUGUCUCCAAAGGUACAUGUUGAGUUGGCAUAAUUCGAGAUUAGGUUUUGUCACUCCGAUUGUCGGAGAGGUAUCUCUGGGCCCUCUCGGUAAUACAC